rnacentral:rRNA from 1 species
AGAGUUUGAUCAUGGCUCAGAACGAACGUUAGCGGCGCGCCUAACACAUGCAAGUCGAACGCGACAGGGGCAACUCUGUUGAGUGGCGCACGGGUGAGUAACACGUAGGUAAUCUCCCCUCGAGUGGUGGAUAACCUUCCGAAAGGAGGGCUAAUACAGCAUAAGACCACGGUCUCGAAAGAGGCUGAGGUCAAAGCGGAGGAUCGCAAGACUUCGCGCUUGAGGAUGAGCCUGCGGCCCAUCAGGUAGUUGGCGGGGUAAUGGCCCACCAAGCCUAAGACGGGUAGCUGGUCUGAGAGGAUGAUCAGCCACACUGGAACUGAGACACGGUCCAGACUCCUACGGGAGGCAGCAGUGGGGAAUCUUGCGCAAUGGACGAAAGUCUGACGCAGCGACGCCGCGUGGGUGAUGAAGGCCUUCGGGUUGUAAAGCCCUGUGGGGAGGGACGAAUAAGUUGCAGCUAAUACCUGCAGCGAUGACGGUACCUCCUUAGCAAGCACCGGCUAACUCUGUGCCAGCAGCCGCGGUAAGACAGAGGGUGCAAACGUUGUUCGGAAUUACUGGGCGUAAAGCGCGUGUAGGCGGCUAUGCAAGUCGGAUGUGAAAGCCCUCGGCUCAACCGGGGAAGUGCACCCGAAACUGCAAAGCUAGAGUCUCGGAGAGGAUCGUGGAAUUCUCGGUGUAGAGGUGAAAUUCGUAGAUAUCGAGAGGAACACCGGUGGCGAAGGCGGCGAUCUGGACGAUGACUGACGCUGAGACGCGAAAGCGUGGGGAGCAAACAGGAUUAGAUACCCCCGUAGUCC